CUACGGGGCGCACCAGUGAGGAAUAUUGCACAAUGGAGGAAACUCUGAUGCAGCAACGCCGCGUGGAGGAUGACACUUUUCGGAGCGUAAACUCCUUUUAUAUAGGAAGAAGAUGACGGUACUAUAUGAAUAAGCGCCGGCUAACUCCGUGCCAGCAGCCGCGGUAAUACGGAAGGCGCAAGCGUUACUCGGAAUCACUGGGCGUAAAGAGCGUGUGGGCGGAUUAAAAAGUCAGAAGUGAAAUCCUAUAGCUUAACUAUAGAACUGCUUCUGAAACUCUUAAUCCAGAAUAUGGGAGAGGUAGAUGGAAUUUCUGGUGUAGGGGUAAAAUCCGUAGAGAUCAGAAGGAAUACCGAUUGCGAAGGCGAUCUACUAGAACAUUAUUGACGCUGAGACGCGAAAGCGUGGGGAGCAAACAGGAUUAGAUACCCUCGUAGUC
rnacentral:rRNA from 1 species